rnacentral:rRNA from 1 species
GAUGAACGCUGGCGGCGUGCCUAAUACAUGCAAGUCGAGCGAACGGACGAGAAGCUUGCUUUUCUGAUGUUAGCGGCGGACGGGUGAGUAACACGUGGAUAACCUACCUAUAAGACUGGGAUAACUUCGGGAAACCGGAGCUAAUACCGGAUAAUAUUUUGAACCGCAUGGUUCAAAAGUGAAAGACGGUCUUGCUGUCACUUAUAGAUGGAUCCGCGCUGCAUUAGCUAGUUGGUAAGGUAACGGCUUACCAAGGCAACGAUGCAUAGCCGACCUGAGAGGGUGAUCGGCCACACUGGAACUGAGACACGGUCCCGACUCCUACGGGAGGCAGCAGUAGGGAAUCAUCCGCAAUGGGGGAAAACCUGACGGAGCAACGCCGCGUGAGUGAUGAAGGUCUUCGGAUCGUAAAACUCUGUUAUUAGGGAAGAACAUAUGUGUAAGUAACUGUGCACAUCUUGACGGUACCUAAUCAGAAAGCCACGGCUAACUACGUG